UACGUAGGUGGCGAGCGUUGUCCGGAUUUACUGGGCGUAAAGAGCGCGCAGGCGGUCGUACAAGUCGCGUGUGAAAGCCCCCGGCUCAAUUGGGGAGGGUCACGCGAUACUGUUCGACUCGAAGGCAGGAGAGGGAAGCGGAAUUCCCGGUGUAGUGGUGAAAUGCGUAGAUAUCGGGAGGAACACCAGUGGCGAAGGCGGCUUCCUGGCCUGUUCUUGACGCUGAGGCGCGAAAGCUAGGGUAGCAAACGGG
rnacentral:rRNA from 1 species